AGUGAACGCUGGCGGUAGGCCUAACACAUGCAAGUCGAACGGCAGCACAGUAAGAGCUUGCUCUUACGGGUGGCGAGUGGCGGACGGGUGAGGAAUACAUCGGAAUCUACUUUUUCGUGGGGGAUAACGUAGGGAAACUUAAGAUAAUACAGCAUACGACCUACGGGUGAAAGGAGGGGAAAUUCGGACCUUGCGCGAUUGAAUGAGCCGAUGUCGGAUUAGCUAGUUGGCGGGGUAAAGGCCAACCAAGGCGACGAUCCGUAGCUGGUCUGAGAGGAUGAUCAGCCACACUGGAACUGAGACACGGUCCAGACUCCUACGGGAGGCAGCAGUGUGGAAUAUUGGACAAUGGGCGCAAGCCUUAUCCAGCCAUACCGCGUGGGUGAAGAAGGCCUUCGGGUUGUAAAGCCCUUUUGUUGGGAAAGAAAAGCAGCAGGUUAAUACCCCGCUGUUCUGACGGUACCCAAAGAAUAAGCACCGGCUAACUUCGUG
rnacentral:rRNA from 1 species